rnacentral:rRNA from 1 species
GUCGUACUGAGCUUAGAGUUUGAUCCUGGCUCAGAACGAACGCUGGCGGCAGGCUUAACACAUGCAAGUCGAGCGAUCCCUUCGGGGAUAGCGGCGGACGGGUGAGUAACGCGUGGGAACGUACCCUCUUCUGCGGGAUAGCCACUGGAAACGGUGAGUAAUACCGCAUACGCCCUUUUGGGGAAAGAUUUAUCGGAGGAGGAUCGGCCCGCGUUGGAUUAGGUAGUUGGUGGGGUAAUGGCCUACCAAGCCGACGAUCCAUAGCUGGUUUUAGAGGAUGAUCAGCCACACCGGGACUGAGACACGGCCCGGACUCCUACGGGAGGCAGCAGUGGGGAAUAUUGGACAAUGGGCGCAAGCCUGGUCCAGCCAUGCCGCGUGUGUGAAGAAGGCUUUCGGGUUGUAAAGCACUUUCAGCGGGGAAGAAGGCCUGGCGGUCAAUACCCGCCAUGAACGACAUCACCCGCAGAAGAAGCACCGGCUAACUCCGUGCCAGCAGCCGCGGUAAUACGGAGGGUGCAAGCGUUAAUCGGAAUUACUGGGCGUAAAGCGCGCGUAGGCGGCGUGUCACGCCGGGUGUGAAAGCCCCGGGCUCAACCUGGGAACGGCAUCCGGAACGGGCAGGCUAGAGUGCAGGAGAGGAAGGUAGAAUUCCCGGUGUAGCGGUGAAAUGCGUAGAGAUCGGGAGGAAUACCAGUGGCGAAGGCGGCCUUCUGGACUGACACUGACACUGAGGUGCGAAAGCGUGGGUAGCAAACAGGAUUAGAUACCCUGGUAGUCCACGCCGUAAACGAUGUCGACUAGCCGUUGGGUCCCUUGAGGACUUAGUGGCGCAGUUAACGCGAUAAGUCGACCGCCCGGGGAGUACGGCCGCAAGGUUAAAACUCAAAUGAAUUGACGGGGGCCCGCACAAGCGGUGGAGCAUGUGGUUUAAUUCGAUGCAACGCGAAGAACCUUACCUACCCUUGACAUCCUGCGAAGCCGGAGGAGAUUCUGGUGUGCCUUCGGGAGCGCAGAGACAGGCGCUGCAUGGCUGUCGUCAGCUCGUGUUGCGAAAUGUUGGGUUAAGUCCCGUAACGAGCGCAACCCUUAUCCUUAUUUGCCAGCGGGUCAUGCCGGGAACUCUAGGGAGACUGCCGGUGACAAACCGGAGGAAGGUGGGGACGACGUCAAGUCAUCAUGGCCCUUACGGGUAGGGCUACACACGUGCUACAAUGGCCGGUACAAAGGGUUGCAAAGCCGCGAGGUGGAGCUAAUCCCGAAAAGCCGGUCUCAGUUCGGAUCGGAGUCUGCAACUCGACUCCGUGAAGUCGGAAUCGCUAGUAAUCGUGAAUCAGAAUGUCACGGUGAAUACGUUCCCGGGCCUUGUACACACCGCCCGUCACACCAUGGGAGUGGACUGCACCAGAAGUGGUUAGCUUAACCCUCGGGAGAGCGAUCACCACGGUGUGGUUCAUGACUGGGGUGAAGUCGUAACAAGGUAACCAAGCCGUAGAGC